UCUGACAGCAUGUGUAGAUAAACAUUUAGCAACAAGUUAAAAGAGCUUGAGACAAUUGAGUUGGUUAUACAGGGUGAGGAAAACAGAAACAACCUUUUCAGGUCCAUACUGCUGGUUUAAUGUUCUCUUUGGCGAUGUUAAGAAGUUCAUCUUUUCAUUUUUUAUUAAUAUAUUUUGACAGGCUGUGAAAACCCCACUGGUUUCACGUACUCUAUAAUACUUUGAACUAAGAAAGAUUUUUGUAUCCAUCUAGGUACAUAAUGGCAAGUCAUGCACUCUUAGUGCACUCAAGAAUGAGGAAAAAUGCCACAGAGCAGGUCAUUCUGCUGGUGGGGAGUACCCCACCGAGGAGGUGUAAUGAGCUAACUACGAAAACGAGCAGGAGAUGGGUGGUUUUGUAUACCUAUUUGGAACUUUCAACCUGUCUCUUCUCAAUUUAUAUUGUAAAAUCCCUAAUAAAAACCAGUCUCUCCCUAUUUCCACAUAGUGAGGUAUCUUUUUCAUACAGGAAGUUAAAGAAGUUAUCUUUCAUGUUUAGUGAAACACUAGUUGCUUGCUAGUUAAAUAUAGCAAAUGUAACUUGAGCUUUUACAAGAUAGGCAGCACUUCUGAGGGCACUUUUACACAGAUGUAGUAAUAGCUUAUUCUUUCUGUUGCUUUGUACUUUAUUCUUAAAAUAGGAAUAUGAAACAGUGAAAUGAGUUGGUGAUACAGAAACAAAGCAGUAGGAAAGAUGCCCCUUAAUGCCUACAGAAUUGUUUUAAGCUGUUCUGAAGAAGCAUAAAGUUGCUCGUUUACUUGUUCUUUGUGUUGUAGGUGCAGCUCAAAAGAAGAUGAAGGCUACCAGAAGAACAUGAACAAAGGGUAAGUGGCAUUAAACCUCUGAAGAACCCUUAUGUGUAUAUUGACCCCCAUACAGAAGGCAGACCAGACUGUGAUACUGCUGGAUAUAGAGAGAUCUUCUACAGCAUGUGUAAAAUUGUAAUGUGGUUGGAAGAUGUUGAGAACUGGCAAUUGCUUGAAAUUAAUAAACUAUGCUUAAAACUUGC